rnacentral:rRNA from 1 species
UACGUAGGGUCCGAGCGUUGUCCGGAAUUAUUGGGCGUAAAGAGCUCGUAGGCGGUUUGUCGCGUCUGCUGUGAAAACCUAAGGCUCAACCUUGGGCUUGCAGUGGGUACGGGCAGACUAGAGUGCGGUAGGGGUGACUGGAAUUCCUGGUGUAGCGGUGGAAUGCGCAGAUAUCAGGAGGAACACCGAUGGCGAAGGCAGGUCAGC